CUACGGGGGGCAGCAGGCGAGAAAACUUUGCAAUGUGCGAAAGCACGACAAGGUUAAUCCGAGUGGUUUGUGCUAAACGAACCUUUUGACAGUCCUAGAAACACUGUUGAAUAAGGGGUGGGCAAGUUCUGGUGUCAGCCGCCGCGGUAAAACCAGCACCUCAAGUGGUCAGGAUGAUUAUUGGGCCUAAAGCAUCCGUAGCCGGCUCUGUAAGUUUUCGGUUAAAUCUGUACGCUCAACGUACAGGCUGCCGGGAAUACUGCAGAGCUAGGGAGUGGGAGAGGUAGACGGUACUCGGUAGGAAGGGGUAAAAUCCUUUGAUCUAUUGAUGACCACCUGUGGCGAAGGCGGUCUACCAGAACACGUCCGACGGUGAGGGAUGAAAGCUGGGGGAGCAAACCGGAUUAGAUACCCCUGUAGUC
rnacentral:rRNA from 1 species